rnacentral:lncRNA from 1 species
AGUAGCUCCCGAGCACGCCGGAGGCCUGGCCUGUGGAUGAGAUUGUUCCUUAUUUCCCCAGCUUCAGCACCACAGAAGAGACCAGAGUCUACCUUGCCAGCUCCUCUAGCACCGACCACGUGCCAAUUCAUGUCCUGAAUGCUCACUUCACUUCUUCACCUUGCUUCACUUCACUUACUGCACGGGAACAGAAAAGCCUAGAGAGGAUGGAUUACCUGUGCGGUUGCCUCCCUCUGCAGAGUGGGCGUGUCUCAGGAGCUUCUCUUCUUCUCCAGCCCAGUGCGGCCUCGUGUCAUCCAUAGGACCCACCGGCAGAGGGCAGGGCCUGCGAGUGGGGCCAGCCUCCUGGUGACUCUCGCCUCCUCUUUUCCAGCGGACGCUACCAGAGGACGAAGGUCUGACUCUGGCCAACGGCCCAGAAUUUCUGGCCCAGUUUUGCCUGAGGAAGCCAACUGUGCAGGAGGUCAGGAUCCCGGUAGGGUGAGAGUGGGAAAGUUAACAUUCCCAAGAGACUCCAAGCAACAGGAUUUCCUGACCUGGGACUAUUACCUUUCUCACAUUACAUGGCCAGAUUUACUUCCUGCUAUUAUUAAAAGUACGAAAAAGAUGAAGAUAUGUGUUUAAUGGAAACAAGGGCAAGAGUUUGCCUGACUGGACUUUGAGGAGGCUGUAGGAUCAUGGCGCUAACGGCAUUUGGAGGGCUGGGAAGGGACUCUAGCCCUGGCUUUACCUGCCUUUGUCAUCAGCUGGAGCAAGCAACUCCGCAACCUCGGAGCCUCAGUUUCCUUUUCUGUAAAAGGCGGGGAGGGUGGGUGGUAAGUGCAAUGCUGAAUCAGAACUCAUAGAGCUGCUGGGUGGACAUGUGAAGUAAAAGAGGAGACAGCUUUUGCUCCUGAAGGAUGCCAUUUGCGUUUUCCUCAUCAGUUUGAUCUCCUCCAAUCAUCCAGCACCUCCAUCUGACCUUCUCAGCUGAGAGGUCCUCAGUGUUUCUGUGGCCUCCAGGAGAAAGGUCCCCCUCCCCGGCUGAGGCCAGGCUGAUGGCAGGCUGCACGGCCAGCCUUCCACAGUCACCUGAAGGAUACAGAAAAGGAAGAGCUGGAGGCUUCUAGCAAGCUGCCGAACUGUGUCCUCCAGCUGCGCCCAGCCCCCUGGAGGUAGCGCCGGAGCACGUGGUGGUGGCUAUGUAGGAAGGCCCCUUUCGAGCCGCCCUAUACUGUCUUUGGGAUCUGCUUUUUACUGCCACAGCCUAUGUGCUCCUGAUUCUUCUCUCAAUCCCUGGAUGGAAACCGGCCUCUGAUACUUGGCUCUGCUUCCUUGGAGGAGCUACUUAACCAUUCAGUCCUCUCUGCAGUUAGCUAUUAAGGUUGUCCUGCGAACUGAAGCAGAGAGUCCCCGCAAAGGGUGCAGAGUAGGGCACCCACAGAGGAGCCUCUAAAGCACUUUCCAUGAGGUGGAUGGCUUCUCCUCCCCAAGGGACCCAGGAAGGAAAGGAGAGCUGCUUCUGCCUCCCCAGCAGAGAGGGACCUUCCCAGAGAAGAUGUCUUGCGCCUCACCUGAUCUUGUUCUGAGAGUAGGAGACUGGAAGAGAAGCGUUCAACUCCCCAAACACAGCUGGGUUUGUUUCGUUUAAUCUCCCAGCCUGUUUUUCUGCUGUCCUCCUGAAGAAUGUUUAAUCUCACAGUUAAAACCACCAAAAGCGACUUUUUUCCCCCUCAACUGCUCAGUAACACAUGACCGUGCAAAUUCGUUUGGCCCCAGCGCCACAAGUCAUAAAAGGCAUCUAGUGGGCGGCAUGAGUCAAUCAGGCCUUUGGACGGUGACGUAACCACAGCUUGUCAGUUUCCCCAUCCAGGCAGCCCCAAUCCCCCAGUGCAGACAUCUGGAGCCAGGGAUUGACAAGUGGAUUCCAGGAUUGGGCCCUGCCUCCCGCCCUGUUCAGUUCCAGCCCAGCCACGGCCGCCGCCAACGAGGACACGCACUGUCUUUCUGCACAUUCCCACGUACACACACCCCCGCAGCCCCCUCUCCACUCAUUCCUGCAUUUCCGGCAAUGUGAAUUCUGACAGCUCGGGCAGUGUCAGCCUCUCCGGUGCAUUCCUCACCACACCACCUCACUGCUCCCGAGCCUGCUGACAGCACUCCCCGCCAUACCUACCAAGCCGAAGGUGCAAGGAACCUCUUGAUCCCCACUGUGUCUUUGUCCCAGGGCCACAGCAAAAUAGCACCCCCCUCCCCCACACACCCUCUAGCCUAAUUUAUUAGACUUUUAAACACAUUUAUUUACUGUGAUAUCUACACCACACCAAACAUCUGGAGGGAAACCGGGAGACAAUCCACCAGGAAUUUAAAUGUUUGUUCUGCAAUGUAACUUUGAAAACCGAACCAGGAAAACUUGACAUCUUUAGCCAAUUGCUUGGUGGUGAGUAGACUUAAGCCAAUAUAUAAUCUGUAAAGGUUGUCCCUCUUUGCCCUCUCUCUAUCCAUGAAACGCAUUCACCAAACAGCCCAGAAAUAUUUCUUUCUUCUCCUCUCAGAGGUAUGUGAAACCAACCUGAAUCAACAACAUAGUUGUUCAACCAGCCUCACUGAGAACGAAGGCAUUUCAGAGCUGGAAAGACGCUAGGGUCUGGGGUCUUAUCUUCCACAUUUAUCUGCCUUAUUAUAAUCCAUCCAGUCAUCCUCUUUGCCCUUGCCAGAUCUCAUCGCUUACACUACCACUACCGAAGGAGCAUAACGUCUGUGACUUUUCUUUUUUUUUUUUUUUUUUUUUGAGAUGGAGUCUUGCUCGGUAACCGGGCUGAAGUGCAGUGGCAGGAUCUUGGCUUACUGCAACCUCUGCUUCCUGGGUUCAAGUGAUUCUCCUGCCUCAGCCUUCUGAGUAGCUGGGACUCCAGGCAUGCGCCACCACGCCCAGUUAAUUUUUGUAUUUUUAGUAGAGAUGGGGUUUCACUAUGUUGGCCAGGUUGGUCUCGAACUCCUGACCUCGUGAUCCAUCUGCCUCGGCCUCCCAAAGUGCUGGGAUGACAGGUGUGAGCCACCGCACCCGGCCACGUCUGUGACUUUUCUAAAGCUUUAAGAUGAUGUCACCCAUAGGCAGAAAGGCCCACUCAUUUCGUGCAUCUGCAGUCACUCUUCUGACGAGGUGCGGCUCUCUUUUGUUCUAUCAAAGAGAAAGCCAGUCUAAAUUAAUGGGAAACUAGAGAAUUAGGUCAUUUUUCAAGAUGAAAUUGCUGGUAGCUUAAGGAAUCAGCUACUUGAAUCCCAUGCUAAAAAAGUGUAACUCCUGAGGAGUGAGCUCUUCUUUCUUCCUUCCAUAAUGUCAGGCACUAAGGGAGGUUCAGAAACACAGAGCAGCAUCUACUCCUUUCUCAACGAGCGUGGGGUCCAGUGCAGUUGGCCCUCAUUUAACAAAUAAUUACACCCAUGCGUGAAAGGUCCAGUGGGGAAACAGUGCGGGGAGCCUCAGGCAGAGCUGAUUCAGGCCUGGGGAGGCACGGGAGCCACAUGUUCAGGGUCCACAGGCCCAGCGGAGUGAUACGGAAGUUUCCAAGAUGGUAAGCCUCUCUCCUGGCCCAUGCUCACCAACGGGACCCCAUUCCUAACCAGGCUUUCCCUCUCUCUCUUUUAAGUGUUCCAGGAAUGUUCCUACCCCUGCGUCUUUGCUGAAGCCCCUCUUGCCUGGGAUGCCCUCUGUCCUCUCUUUCUGCCCACACACAUCCUGCCAGUCCUUCAGACAGGGCCAGCCUCACGGGCAUAGGACCUGAGCAGUUUCACAGGGCCCUAUGCACAGAAGGAUCCCAAGCUCGGUUGAUUGCUCCGAUCUUGCCAUCUUGAAACUCUUUGAUAAUUUUAUCUUUUAUCUUGUGUUUUGGGAGUGAAAUCCAAUGGGAUAUUGGGGCCUGCAAAGGAGAAGAGGAGAUCCGCACAAACCCGUUCCUGGCUGCUGCAUUCACCUCCAGCGUUUGUGAUGCCCCAGAGCACAGAACUCCAGGGAGCCCACGAUGCAGGAGAGUUCAGCGACAUUCACUGAGUACAAGAGAAGACUGUUGGGAGGCACCAAUGGACUUUGCAACUGGAGAUCUCCCAACUGGACCAUGUCACUGUUAUGUUUAAUUUGCACUGUGCACAGUAGGUACCCAGUCAACGUUUGUCGAAUUCCAUGGACUGGGCCUUAUACCUCCGAGGAUUUUUCACAGCAGUAGCAUGUGCACAUGCACAGAACGAGAACACAACCAAUGCUUGUUUGCUGGUGAAGACCUGGUCUCAGUAUUUUGCCCAGGAAACCCUUUCUUCAUGGACAGCAUGAGGCAAGCUAUGGCCCUUGCUGUGGUCUCAGUGGUUCAGCACGGAAGAUGAAGAUGACGGGCAGUCUCAGAAUAUUAGCUUUAGAAGGGACUUUGGAUCCUUUUGAUUUUGGUAGGUGAAAUACUUUUUAAAAAUAAAGAAAACGGACUUUGGACAAAUGCUCUCAUUUUGUAAAUGAAAAAGUAGAGACAGGAAGAGUAACUGAUUUGUCCAAAAUCAAACAAAGUAAAUUGUGUUGCAUCCUCUCCAUCCGUAACCACCUUCGCCUUCCCUAACUGCUCCAUGUGGCCUGGGAAAGUCCACUUCACCUCGUCUUAGAGGUGGGCUUCUGAUUCUAGCUAAGCCAACCCCCA